GACCCGGAAGCAGACGCUAGUCGCGAGUUGCUUCCCAUCGGUGGAGUAAAGAUGGCUGACCAGGGCGCCGCAGAUCCUGCUAAUAACAACAAUCAAGUUGACGCCGGGGAGGGCACCAUCAUUAAGGUCACCGUGAAGACCCCCAAGGACAAGGAAGAAAUCGCCAUCGCUGAAGAUUCGUCUGUCACGCAGUUCAAGGAGGAGAUCUCCAGGCGUUUCAAAGCCAAGCAAGACCAGCUGGUGCUGAUUUUCGCAGGCAAGAUCCUGAAGGACGGCGACAGCCUCAGCCAGCAUGGCAUCAAGGAUGGGCUGACGGUGCACCUGGUUAUCAAGACGGCACAGAAGGCCUCAGAUGGAGGCAGCACUUCGACUUCAAGCUCCACGUCCACCCCGGCAGGAAGCGCCGGCGCCCCCAAUGCAGGCACCGCGCCUUCCUCCACCGCUGGGUCCACCGCCGGCUCCACCCCGGUGCCCACACAGACGCCCGGCCUGCUGAGUGAGUCCGCCGGUUUCCCGCGGCCGUCUGAGGAAACGCACCGUCGCCUUCAGCUGCAUCCCCUUCCAUUUCCCGCAGGCGGUUUCGGCGACCUGUCCACUCUGGCGGGUCUGGGCAUGGGCUCGGCCAAUUUCAUGGAGCUGCAGCAGCAGAUGCAGCGGCAGCUCAUGUCCAACCCGGAGAUGCUCUCGCAGCUCAUGGAGAACCCGCUGGUGCAGAACAUGAUGUCCAACCCGGACCUGAUGCGGCAGAUGAUGGUGUCCAACCCGCAGAUGCAGCAGCUGAUGGAGCGUAACCCGGAGAUCUCGCACAUGCUCAACAACCCCGAGCUCAUGAGACAGACCAUGGAGCUAGCUCGCAACCCGGCCAUGAUGCAGGAGAUGAUGCGCAACCAGGAUCGGGCGCUCAGCAACCUGGAAAGCAUCCCGGGCGGCUACAACGCCUUGCGCAGGAUGUACACUGACAUCCAGGAGCCCAUGUUCAGCGCCGCCAGAGAGCAGUUUGGCAACAACCCCUUCUCGGCCCUCGGCGGCGGCUCAGAGUCCGGCGUCCAGCCGUCGCGGACGGAGAACCGCGAGCCCCUUCCCAAUCCCUGGGGUCCGCCCAAUGCCUCGAACCCCCCGGAGAGCGCCGGAGGCGGUGGCGGCGGCCCGGCGGGAGGCACCAGCACCAGCACCCCCGCCGCUGGCACCAACCCCACUGUGUCCAACCCGCUGGGCGUCAACCCGGGCAGUCUGGGAAACGGAAUGUUCAACAGUCCGGGCAUGCAGAGCCUCCUGCAGCAGAUCUCGGAAAACCCCCAGCUCAUGCAGAACAUGCUGUCGGCCCCCUACAUGCGCAGCAUGAUGCAGUCGCUGUCCCAGAAUCCAGAGUUGGCCUCCCAGGUGAUGAUGAAUAAUCCCUUGUUUGCCGGCAACCCACAGCUGCAGGAACAGUUCCGAUCUCAGCUUCCCGUCUUUUUGCAGCAGAUGCAGAACCCAGAGGCGUUAUCGGUGAUGACGAACCCGCGCGCCAUGCAAGCGCUCAUGCAGAUCCAACAGGGCCUUCAGACACUGCAAACAGAAGCACCCGGACUCAUGCCCAGUUUGAUGUCAGGCGGCCUUCCCGGUAGCAUCCCCGGCAGCAUUCCCGGCAUCCCAUCGGGCGGCAGCGCGCCCACCGAGAACCCCGCGUCCUCGCCCAGCAGCGCCGGGACACCGCCAAACGUCGCCCAGCAGCAGCUGAUGCAACAGAUGCUUCAAAUGUUCGCCGGGGGAGGCGCUGCGAACCAGACCCCCGAGGUCCGCUUCCAGUCGCAGCUGGACCAACUGAACGCCAUGGGCUUCAUCAACCGCGAGGCCAAUCUACAGGCCCUCAUCGCCACUGGAGGGGACAUCAACGCCGCUAUCGAGAGACUGUUGGGCUCGCAACCCUCGUAAAGACACAUUCUCACACACACACACAGUACAUUCUGCCGCCUGACACACACACAUAUAUAUAUCACAGGCACGUCAUGCCACAUCCACAGACAAAAAGUUUCGCAAAUUGAUCCCAAACUUUAACAAAGACACUUUGGGCAAGAUCUGAUGCCUCCCUUUUUUUUUUUUUUUUUUUUUUUUUUUUUGUCACCGCCCCCCUCCCCUGCUCCAUUCCGAUAUUUGUCCCUCUUCUGUUGGCGCCAUCCACUCAGAGUCUCCCAUAGGUGGUCACCUUCAUUUCGUGGCAAAAAAACGGGACGGCCUCUCCGUUCUCGAGCUCAAAGCACGCAAUGCGCUUGGCCUGCCGCGGCUCGACGGGUGCGCGCGAACCAAGGUGUCGUUUGUUCCUCCCGACUUCCCGCUUUCUGUUCUCGAUCAAAGCAACGUUUGCUCCAACUUCGCGGCUUUCCAAAUGAUGCCCUCCGCACGUGUAGUUUGUCAUUCCAGGUUCAACAGAAGAAGAAGAGAAAAAAAAAGUGUCUUUGUGUGUCUGAGGCACCGCUGCUGUGCCUUUUGUGUCCUUACCUUCAAUGCGAGACCCCCACGUGUGUGUGUGUGUGGAUGUAGGGAAAGGGGGGUGGGCGCAAAUGAGGGGUGGGCGCGAGUUAAAACCAUGCAUCCGCACAUCACUGGACUUAUUGGACGCAAAGAGUUGGCAUCCGCAACGCUGACAUUAUGAAGCAAAAUGAGAUUUUCUUUCACUUUAAUCUGAUGAUUUACUUCUUUUGAGUCUUUUUUUUUUCGGGGGGGAACAUGUAAAUUAAACCAUGAAUCAGUUGAAUCAGUUGGCUUGACAAAAGAAUUCUAGUAUGGCCUGCCAUACGUUUCUGAAGAAAAAUAAACAAACGCUAGAUCGUCAUAUAUCUCCAUUUUUUUUUUCUCCUUUGGAAAAUCUCAGCAUUGUAGUUGUGGUUACCGUGGCAACUGCUUCUCUGGCUUUGCUUUGUUCGAUGACCUCAGCUGAAAACAACAAAAUUAAAGAAAAUCCAUCUCCCAAUUUGAACAUGUUGGAACUAACUUUUAACAGUCCUGUACUAAAAGAAAAAAUAAAAUAAAAAUGAAACGUCAAAAACUU